GGCUCAUUAUAUUUUAUUUGCGGCAGGGUAAAAAGAGAGCAUGAAAAUAUUUACCAAGGUUUAUUUUAACUCCAAAUAAUCUUAAUGUCAUUUUAAAAUAUAUGUAUUUUUCAAAUAGGUUUCAAUGGGCAAAUCCAUCGACCCAAAUGCAUAGAAAUGAAUGCAUUUUCUUGCUGUAAUUGAAAUUUCCCCUCUGAAGCUACCAUGGCCUCCGUGAAAGUUUUGUUCUGUUGUCACCUCUGCAGGUGAAAAGCCUCCCUCUUCCCAAUGCUACCUGCCAGCUACGCUUCUCGGCAGAUGUUUCUGGACUUCAGUGGCCUCAUUUGCAAGCUGAGAGGGCUGAACAGAUGAACCCUACACUCUUCUGUCUGAAGUUUCUGUGCUCCCAAAUGUCUUCAUUUUAAAGAGGAGGUGGGGAAGAGAUGGAAACUUCUAAACUAAGUGCCUCGCCCAGACAGCUCUCCUCAAAGAAGGGGAGCAACCCCAACCCCUCCCCAGCAGUGAGGGUCCUGAACCCACCCUUGGCCCAUCACCCACCCCCAGCCCACAGCAAGGGUCCAUCCCUGCCUCCCUUAAGAUGGGGAAAUGGGUCUCUUGGGCUGCCAGUAUGUGAGCCUGCUCUCCCCAGAAGGCAUAAUCCCUAGUAGGUGAGAUUGUUGAGAAUAACGCUGGGGGGUCCUCUAGCCCGGAAACCCUGCAAGCUGACAUGGGGCCUUCUCAAUCCCCGUUCCCACCACACAGAGCUGCAUUCCUGGAAAAUGACACGGCGCCAAGAGGUUUUUAAUAGAAAUGACCCUGCUGAUCAUCCCAGCCACCCUGUGAGUACACACAGAGUAUCAGGAAAACCUUGUUUUUCAAAUGAAGACACUGAGGCUGGAAGCCACGCAGUGACUUGUCUGGGCUCUGGCCCAGCAGAGCCUCACAUGCAAAUCUCAGGAUCCUAAACACCAUUUUCAUUGCUUUCUUUCCCCAAAAUGUUUGUGGUCUCUUUUGUGUCAGGUAAAGCACUAGUCACUUUCUACAAAGCCUUGCACGUUUUAUGUUGGAUUAUUCUGCUAUUUUGGCAAAUAAUGUGAAAGUGUUUAAGCACUUUUAUGUCAAACCUAAUUUCCUUUCAACAUCAUGUGAUAAUACCAGAAGUUGGCAGGGGAAAUUUUGUUGUUUUUCUCUUAUUUUUAAGUUAAAUAUUAAUGAUAAAAAAGAACCAUCAAUAAGAGCCCCUUGCAGUCCCUGAGCUCUUCACAUCCUGGUGACUAUUUUUACUGGGAAGAUGCUUUUAUUUCUGACUCUGCAUGGUAACUGGGAUGACAUCAAUUAUUUGUUUGUUACCUCCCAAAUUAUCAAGGAGCCGAUGAUCUAAUGAUGAUGAUCAAUGACACAGGUGAUAGAUGAUGUCACAAUCUGAACACCUGCCGGGUGCCACCCAGCACCUUUCCUGCAUCGCCUCCCAUAUCCUCUGAGGACCCAAGAUCCACUUUAGUAUUUGCCACAUAGUAAAUGCUCAGAAAAUACCAGCGCAGUCACUCUUCUCUGGAGUCCAAUCUUCCCUGAACAGGUGCUCCUGCGCCCAUUUUAUAGGUGAGCAAACCGAGGAUAGAAAGUUUACAUCACUCCCUCAGGAUCCUGCAGCCAGUAUUUAAAUGCGAGGACAUGUUCUUUCUUCUACCUAUUGCUUGUGAAGCUAGGAAGGAGAUGGGGGUGAGGAAGGAGCAGAGCCCGAGGAAGGUGAAAAUACCAGAAGAAAAAUGGAAGGUGGAGGCCGGGCACAGUGGCUCACACCUGUAAUCCCAGCACUUUGGGGGGCUGAGUCGGGUGGAUCGCCUAAGAUCAGGAGUUCAAGACCAGCCUGGCUAACUGGGUGAAACCUUGUCUCUACCAAAAAUACAAAAAUUAGCCAAGUAUGGUAGUGCACACCUGUAAUUCCAGCUACUGGGGAAGCUGAGGCAGAAGAAUUGCUUGAACCUGGUAUGUGGAGACUGCAGUGAGCCAAGAUUGUGCCAUUGCACCCCAGCACUCCAGCCUGGGCAGCAGAGCAAGACCUCAUCUCAAAAAAAAAAAAAAAAAAGAAAGAAAGAAGAAUGGAAAGUGGAGAACAGGUGGUCUUAACAAGUUGUCCAGAGGAGGAGGAAAUGGAUAGCCCCAGGGCCCUCGUCCUUGGCACAUAUGCACAUGAACAGACCAAACCUGCCAGGUGGGCUUGAGGUUGGAAGGAGCCACAGGGCUGUGUCUACACUGUCCAGUAUGGAAGCACCCAACCACCUGCCACCACGGAACACGUGAAAAGUGUCGAGGUGACUGUGGAACUAAAUUUUUCAUUUUGCAUAAUUUUAAUUUAAAUUUUAAAUGAUAUAAUUUUUACAUUAUUUUCAUUCAUUUACAUUCUAAUAUCCACAGGUGGCUGCCACAUUGCACCACACAGCUGGAGAAGGCUGAGAAGAGGGGGAUGGAGAGACCCUCCCCUCCAAGGGAGAGGUGCAAGGGGGGCCUCUCUGCCCUCCAGGGCUCAGUAUCAAUGGUGGGAGACUGCCUUCAUCCCCCAGAACACACUCCUGGGACAGCUGCAAAUAGGGAACCCCCAAAGCCCAGCAGCUGUGGGAGGUGAAGGGGCAGCUCGGUUACAGACCAGGCUGCAAAGCAUCUGUCUAAAAGGGGUCUCCUGCGGGGCUUCCCAUUGGCUGACGGGAAGAAGCGUGAGGCAGAGUAACCCUGGCAAUGAACUUGAGGGAUCCACUGAGGGCUUUCUACAAUUCCCACAAGAUGCUGUUGCCCUUCCCCAUCCAAGAGGAUGCCAGAGCCCAUGUGAUGACCUUGUUAUCGUUAAGAGGCUUGAAAAAGCAAAACAAGAUCGUCCUGUCUCUGGAUGCACCUUUGAUGCCUCCAUUCUAUCAGGCAAGCAAGGCCCUGGAAACAUCCUUUCUCUCCAGCAGAGGAGCCUGAUAGGUUGACAGGGAACCCUGGUCUCUGGACUCCCAGGCUUAAUCUGGGCCAACAGAGGAAGGGGUUUCCUGAGAAGUGAGACCCUCCAGAGCCCCUGUGGAAGGCUCCCAGCUUUGGGGGCAUUUUUGGUUUCUUAAUCUGCAUUUAGCUCCACCUCAGAGUGGGGCAUGGGGAACCUGAUUGGGAUUUAGAAGGUGACGAGGCAUUCUUACACUAAUUGUGCCCCUCGGGAUGCAUGGAAUACUAGGAGACACCAUGGCUUUUCACAUUCAGGUGCUCGUGUGAACAUCACCAACUGCCUCUAAACACAGGUAGCAGCAACAUGCAAUCUUUUGAUGGGAAGCAGUUAUUUCUUGAUCACUCGAGGGUUUUGAAGGCAGCCAGGCAGCUCAGGGGAAAAGCAGGUUCUACGAGAAGAGAGACAUGAUAUGCUCAGACAUUUCUGCAUCCUUGUCCUACACACAGUGUGAUCCACAGUGGUAAAGGUGAAGAAACUGAGAUUCACGAGUGUUUCAGAAAACUGCCUAAGAUGUUAGAACUAACAAGUCCUGAAGUUCAAACCCAAGUAUGACUGUCAACAUGAGGUUCUUUCUACAAACAGCAAUUCUGGAAGCUUCCAUUUACAGAGUGUUGCCCACAGAAGGGGCCUGGAAUACUGGUUGUUCAUGGAAUCUUCACUACUGCCCCAUGAAGUAGAGACAACGAUUAAGCCCAUUUUACCAAUGAGGAAAAUGGAAGCACAGAGAGACCUAAUAACCUUCCUAAGAUCACACAGUGAGACAGGACCCACAGUUGUUCUCUUUCCUCACCUCAUCACACUGCAGCCAUGACCAACCAAGAGGGCACAAUCGUCACUUAAGGCAUGAAGAAGCUCUGGUCAUAGGCUUGACUUGCAGGUGAGCCACCGAUCGGGGUUGCUCAAUGUGUCCUGAGCCCAAUUCAAGUCAGAUUGUGAAACCUUUGCUUCAACAGUCCCAGUGAUGGGAAGCUCAAUGGGAAGCGAGUCUCUCAGUCAGCUGCCAAUGAGUCUUUCCUUCCCUGAAUGCACAUAGUGGGUAUCAUAUUAAGAUGUGAGGGUUACAUUCUCUCCCCUUGAAUCUGGGCUGGCCCUGUGAUAUGAUGAGCAGAAUGUAGUAGAGGUGACACUCCAGAACUUCCAAGCCCAAAUCCAAGAUUAGCAGUUUCUCCUUCCUUCCCCUUGGGACACAAUCACAAGAGAAGCCUGGGCCCCAAGGAGAAGCCACAUGGAGGAGAACCAAGGUGUUCCAGUUGACAACUCUAAAAGACCUCCUGCCAACAGCCAGCACCAGCUGCCAGCAGGGGGAAUGAGCUGCUUUAGAUUGCCAGCCAGCAUGGAGACCCCAGGUGACUGCAGCCAGCGACAUCAUGAAGAGCAGCAGAACCAACCAGCUGAGCCCUGUCACCCCACAGAAUCACAAGAAUAACAAAACAGUCGGUGGCUUAAGUCAUUGAUCUCCUAGACAUUUUACUGUGCUGCUACCAAUAACUACCUUGUGAGGCAGCCUGUGUACCUGGAGACUGUUCCACCUUUAGGUGUUUUUUCCAUAAAGCUAAAUCCUCAUUCUUUCAUUUGUCUCCCUGGUUGGAGAUCUCCCUCAGGAACCACAUAGAACACAUGACAGAGAAUUAGAAAUGAAGGGGUAUGAGUUAUUAAAGACCAGCUUGUCCAUAUUGCUAACUAUACAGAUUAGUGAUUGAAGGCCAAACAGAUUCUGUGGCAUUCUCUGACCUCCCAUCCAGGUUGGGUACCCCACUCUGAGCUCCCACAAUCCCCUCUGCUUUUCCCACGAAAGCACUUACCACACCACACUACCUCCUAAUAACGUGGUAACAUCUCUUUCCAGGCAAGAGGCCAUAGGC
rnacentral:lncRNA from 1 species